rnacentral:rRNA from 1 species
AUUGAACGCUGGCGGCAUGCCUUACACAUGCAAGUCGAACGGCAGCACGGGAGCAAUCCUGGUGGCGAGUGGCGAACGGGUGAGUAACAUAUCGGAACGUGCCCAGUGAUGGGGGAUAGCCCGGCGAAAGCCCGGAUUAAUACCGCAUACGAUCUACGGAUGAAAGCGGGGGAUCGCAAGACCUCGCGCGAAUGGAGCGGCCGAUAUCAGAUUAGGUAGUUGGUGGGGUAAAGGCUCACCAAGCCAACGAUCUGUAGCUGGUCUGAGAGGACGACCAGCCACACUGGAACUGAGACACGGUCCCAGACUCCUACGGGAGGCAG